rnacentral:rRNA from 1 species
AUGUCGUGGUGGAGGUCCAAGCCGCACUUCAGCGCCGACAGCCAGGACUCGAGCUCCAACGACGCGUACCGCGGAGGCAAGGACCGCUCGCCGUCGCGUCGCAAGAAGUCCGACGACGACGAGGAGGAGUACCGCCCAUACGCAGGCUACGGCGCCAACACCAACCGCGGCGGGGCCAACGAAGGCGGUGGCGGCGGCGGCGGCUACAACGGUGGUUACGGCGGCGGGGGCGGCGGCUACAACAACGGCUACGGCGGCGGUGGCUCGUACAGCAACGGCAACGGCGGUAUCACGCCCUACAACGGCGGCGGCGGUGGCUACAACAGCAACUCUUCCUACGGAAACGGCGGCGGUGGGUACAACAACUCUUCUUACGGCAACGGCAACGGCGGCGACGGGUACAACAACGCUCCCAGCUGGGCAUCCCAGGACACCGGCGGCCGGACGCCGAUGUACAUAAACACCAGGGAGGUCCACGUCUAUGGGGCGCCGCAGAACGACGACGACUACAACGGCGACCAGAAGAGGCGUGGUGGCGGCGGCGGCGGGGGCAGCGGGUUCUUCGGUCCGGCCUUCCAUGCCGUCGGCCAUUUCGUCGAUCGUAGGUUCGGCCUCGACGACAGGAACUGA